CCAGUCUAUAAAAGGGGACCCCAGAUACGUUAUUCUCUAAGCUCUCAUUUUUUACCUAGAAACUCUGCUAAAAUUUCUGUUCGAGUACUCCAUUCUUGUUGAGACAGAGAACUGACUUGAGCGUCGGAGGGUCUUGCCGGAGCAAACCCACCUCCGGUUUAGACUUCUUUUGCAAGUCCCGACGGUGACCGCGACCCCCACAACUCCAGCUUCUCUGGCGCAGAUGGAUUUUUGCACCAACAGGAUUGGCGCUAGAGGAAGGGCGCGUGUCUUCGCAGUACCCUUAUUCUUAAAGGAGCGCUCAACGGAACCACCCCCGGGCAUCUUUUCCGGCAUCCUCUCCUCCUUCCUCCAC
rnacentral:lncRNA from 1 species